UACGGGGGGAGCAAGCGUUGUUCGGAUUUACUGGGCGUAAAGGGCGCGUAGGCGGCGCAACAAGUCACUUGUGAAAUCUCCGGGCUUAACUCGGAACGGUCAAGUGAUACUGUUGUGCUAGAGUGCGGAAGGGGCAACUGGAAUUCUCGGUGUAGCGGUGAAAUGCGUAGAUAUCGAGAGGAACACCUGCGGCGAAGGCGGGUUGCUGGGCCGACACUGACGCUGAUGCGGCGAAAGCCAGGGGAGGCGAACGGG
rnacentral:rRNA from 1 species